AUUGAACGCUGGCGGCAUGCUUUACACAUGCAAGUCGAACGGUAACAGGUUAAGCUGACGAGUGGCGAACGGGUGAGUAAUGCAUCGGAACGUGCCCGGUCGUGGGGGAUAACGCAGCGAAAGCUGCGCUAAUACCGCAUACGAUCUGAGGAUGAAAGCGGGGGACCGUAAGGCCUCGCGCGAUCGGAGCGGCCGAUGUCAGAUUAGGUAGUUGGUGGGGUAAAGGUUCACCAAGCCAACGAUCUGUAGCUGGUCUGAGAGGACGACCAGCCACACUGGGACUGAGACACGGCCCAGACUCCUACGGGAGGCAGCAGUGGGGAAUUUUGGACAAUGGGCGAAAGCCUGAUCCAGCAAUGCCGCGUGCAGGAAGAAGGCCUUCGGGUUGUAAACUGCUUUUGUACGGAGCGAAAAGGUCUCCUCUAAUACAGGGGGCUCAUGACGGUACCGUAAGAAUAAGCACCGGCUAACUACGUGCCAGCCGCCGCCUAA
rnacentral:rRNA from 1 species